AACUUGAUGAAAUCUAAAGGCACGACUGAUGAAACAGAGCUAGAUUGAAACCAUGAAAUUAAUCAUCAUUUCUCAAUCAGUUUCAAGAUUCUAUCAUACACCCAACAGUGAAAUAAACGAAAUACAUCAAGAUAAUACUAUUACAUUGCUUGCAUAUAGAAUUGAGAAUUAAGAGUUGAGAAAACACAAAUAAUCCAAUAACCCAAUACAAAUAUCUCCAAAAAUAAAAAUAAAAUAAAAACCCAGAUUCAUAAUAAACUUCAACAUAAACAAAGAGGUACUUACUAGUGUUGAUUUGAGAUUCGACCUCGCUCCUCCACUUUCAAAUUCGUUAGGUACACUUUCUUAUCUUAACUCGCAUUUCGAUUUCAUCACUCUCCUUUCUCCUUUUUGAUCUUGAUCUGUCCCACGAUCCACAACCGAUCUGCUACAACAAGAUUGCACAGGUCGAACUUGAAAUUCGCAAGUACUAUCAGAAUUUGAGGAUCUUUAGGCGUCGAUCUCUGGCGACGUAGAAAUCAAGAGGGGAGGAGUAGUGAGUAGCUGAACAAGACUUUAGGGCACAUUUGGUAACUAGGAUAAGAUUGAAUUAGGAUAACAGCAAGAUUAGAUUAGAAUAAGAUUAGAUUUAUUUCAAAUCCUUUCAUUUGUUUGGUUAGAAGGAUUAGUACGGUAAUAGAUAUGUGGAAGAAAUAGAUCUUUGGCCAGCAUCCAUCUUCUUCAACACAAUCGAAAGCCCAAUUCAUCAAAUUCUCAAUUCCUCUGCGAACAUAAAUGCCUCAAGCUAAUUAACAGUGGCGGCAAGUAGCGAAAGCCUCUGAUCCUGGAAGCGAGACGGUUCCCCAAAACCCAACUCCAAUUUCCUUCCCUCUGUCAACUCUAUUACAUGCCCAGAUGAAAUCAUCUACAACUCCUACAGCUUUCCCAAUCUUCCUCCAAAGUCCUCAGCAUCUCCGCCGGCGCCGUCCACAAGGCUCUCUUUCCCGGCCAGGUCGUCGUCGCUCACAUCACCUUCGUCGAGCUUUUGGGCUUCGGUCGUUCGUCAACCGCGUCGAUCUGUACA
rnacentral:lncRNA from 1 species